AAAAAAAAAAGAAGAAGAAAAGAAAUGUAUAAAUAAGUUUGUAUCAGUUAGAAAUUUUAUAUCAUUCUUUUUUCCUCAUUGAAUUUAUAUUUCCACUCCACAUAUAACACAGAAUUGUAUAAUAUAUUUUAUAAUUUAAGAUGUUUUGUUGUUCACAUUACUGCAAUCAAUCACAUAUGUGAUUACAUGUCCUGAGUGGAAGGAUUUAAAUGUUUGAUUUUAUUUCUGACUUAAGGUAUCAUUACAAUCAUGAUUAUUAUCUAAUUAAUCAAAAUUAUGCAAAUAUCUGUUUUAGUAAAUAAUCACUAAAUAUAAAAUAAUAAAAUUUGAAAGGUACAUCUUACAGUAAACAUAGAGCUGAUGUGUACUUCCCAACAUUUUAUUUUGGAAAAUUUUAAAUUCACAAAGUUGCAAGGAUGACACAAUGAACACCCAUAUAUUCUUCACCUAAAUUCAACAAUUGUUAACAUUUUCUUGUGUUUGCAUCCUCUCUCUCUCUCUCUCUCUCUGUCUCUCUCUCUCUAGUUUUGUUUUUCCAUGGAACCUUUUGAGACAGUUCAAAUGGCGGUGAGGACAUGCAUCCAUAAUAAUACAAUGGAAGGCAGAGUGCAUGGGCAUGAUACAGAUGGUGGGCAAAAUGUGGUAGGGGACAUAUGGAAGCUUCUAUUUUUUUGUGUGUGUGAAAGAGGAAUCAAGAGGAAGGAGGAGGAGUUGUUGGAUGUUUAUAAAAAGGCGAGAAAGUAUGAGUCAUAUUGACCAGUGGACUUGUGUCUCGGGUGGGGAACCCCCACCUGGAAGUGUAAAAAGACCCUUUUUUUUAACGGGGUACAAGACCAUGUAGAGUUUUAAGCAAUCCAUUUCCAUGUGUAUUUCCUCCUUAGAAUUCUGCCUGCCACUCCCUCCAUCUUCCCAACUUCAAGAAUCCCAUUCUUAAAUCACCACCUAUUUGCAACUUGUUUCCUCUAUUUCCAUGACUUCAACAAUGCUUCGGACUCAUGUUCUCCUUGAUGCACUUUCUUUAUGAGCCUUCUAGGACACCAUGUUCAUCUAGUUUUCCUUCUACCUAAUUGUUCACUGCUUCUGGGCUUCCACUGCUUCUUCAUCCUCAGUCCUGACUGCUAAAUGUUGAAGCACGUAUGGCUGAAACCUUGAACUGCUUCUCUUCUCCCUCCAUACCAUUGUCUAUAUUAUCUCAUCCAGUCUCAUAGCUUUAACAACCAUGUAUGUGCUCACAACUUCUCAAUUUGUAUCUCCAGCCUGACCUCUUCUAUCAGUUCAAGAUUGUGUAUCUAACUACCUAAAUAAAAUCUUCACUUCUCUGAAUAGUAAACAUGCAAAACGUUUUAGUCAAAACCAAACUCCUGCUACUUUUGUCUCCAAACCUGCUAUACCUGAGAUCUUCCCCACCCCAUUUAUAGCAAUUCAAUUCUUUCCAGUGCUCAGGUCAAAAAUUUCAGAGUCACUCUUUAUUUCUCUCUCUCCUUCAACUCCCAUUGCCAAUUCAUCAGCGAAUCCUGUUGGCUCUACCUCAUAAACAUAUUCAGAAUCCAACCACUUCUCAUCAUCUCCACUGUUACCCCCUGGACAUUGCCACUGCCAUGCCACACCUGGAAUUACUACAUCAGCUGCCCUACAUUCACUCUUGCCUCUUCUCAACACAGCCAUAAUUCUGCUGGCUGCUCAGAAUCUGCCAAUGGCCAGAGUCCUUACCAUCGCCUACAAGUCCCUUCCUGACUGUCCCCAUUACCUCUCUAGGUGCACCUCCUGCCAUCUCACCUACUCCCAUCCCGUUCCAGCCAUUUCAGCUUCUUUGCUGGAUGCCCAAAGUGCCAGGCAUUCUCUCACCUCAUGCUUUUGCACCUGCUGUUGUUGCUUACAGGGCUUAUGCACCUGAGAGGUUCCAAAUCUUAAUUUUCAUUAGCUUUACAGUAAACCUACCUCUGACUAUUGCUCUGGAGAGCCUGACAAGACCAAACUAGGCUCCAGCCCAGAAACGCACUGACACCGUGACACUACACAGGGCUCUUUUUGGCCACUGCAAUGGUUUCUGACUUGCCCUGACUCUUGUGACCAGGGCUUGGCAGCCACCAACAUCAUACCUUUGGGCUGCUAUUCAAUCAAGCCUCAGGCAUACAUAGAUUUGAAUAAAUUUCCAUGCUUUGUAAUGUAUUUGUCAGCAAUCAAUGGGGCCAAUGUAAGGUCAGUUGUUCUUUCUCUCUUUCUCUUUCAUCUUAUUUUCUAUCUUCUCAGAGAGGAGAACAAUAGAUGAGUCUAUGUCCUUUGUUCCUCUUCUGAAACCCAAAAAGAAGCUUCUCAGAGUCAUUUAUAGGAACACGUGAUAGUUCUGUUUGCUUUUCUCGCCUUAUGUCUUCCCAAUUCUUUCACAGAUCUGUAAGACCACAUUUGCAUCAAACAUUGGAUGUUAUAGGUCUCUUCCAUAAUAUUUCUGAGAUAAAAAGCUCUGUAGGUGCAGUCAUGUAGAUCAAGUGAAUUCAGCAAACGUGUAUGACACUGUACAAAGGAUGUAACAGGGAGUUUGGAUAGACAUGGUACCCUGAGGGGAGCCUGUGCUCUGGAGAGGGCAGACAGAGAAUGGCAAAUGUAUUUUAGAGCUGUAAGACCAAGCAGAUGACAAUGAUGUAUAACAAGGAAAGUUAAAACAAACUUGUGGGAUGUAGGGUGUGUAGAGAGCUAUAAGAAUUCAAGAGGUAUAAAGAGCACAUUGAGUUCUAAAUUCUACACGAAGAGGGUAACAUAUUCUAUGGAACUUUAAAAAGAGGUAGAAUUUCAGCAUACAUAGAUGGGCUGGGAGAGUAGGAGAAAGAGCAACGUUCCAGGCAACAAGCACAGCAUGAGCAAAAAUAAGGGAAUCAGAGGAGCAUGGGGCAUAUCCAGGGAAAAGUGAGCAUGUAGCUUAGCUGCAGUGUGGAAGAAUAUGUUGGGAAAGGGUUUUUUAAAAUUAGAAGGAAUAAAUUAGG